ensembl:lncRNA
CAAUAAAUACACCUAAAGCUUCACAGUAAAUAAUAGACUACUUUUAAGACAGAACAGCCCUAUUAUCACGAUAUGGAUUUUUAAUAUCAUGAUAUUUCUGUGUCACGAUAUAUUGCAUACGAUAUAAUAUUGCCCACCCCUAGUUUACAGGGAGUAUCAGUGUACUCAUUACUGAAUAAUCAAUUUGACAAGAAGUUUUUUUUUAAUGAUUUAAACACAGAUCAGUAAUGCAAAUCAGAUCAUGGCAAGUAAUGGAGAAAGACUCUCCAUAACCAAGGUGGUCCCUCUCCUGUUCCAGCAUUAUAGAGUUUGGACUGAAGGACUGGGGUUGGGCUGUUCAUGAGGAUGAUGAUGAUGAUGACGAUAUGUUUGACUUCUGAAGAUGUGAAGAGACUGCAGGCUAACCCUGACCAGCACUGGACACACUCCCAUGUAGCAAAUGCUGCAGAACAUUGGACAUUACACAAAGGACUUUACCGACAAAUCCAUCAAGAGAACAACCAUCUAAUGGAGGGUUUUAAUGUAAACAGGCUCUACAUGACGCAAAGUGUGGCAGGUUAAAACAUACAGUAAUAUGUGCCUUUCAACAGGUCUGGUCUUUUUAUAGAUCUGCCUUUCUGUGUCAAGUUUCCAAAGGUGUCAAUAUUGCAGUGUGAAAGUGUUUAAAAGUAUUAAGACACAGUUUUGACGUUUGUUUGUGUGUGUGUUUGUAUAUAUGUGCGUAUGUCUGUGUGUGUCGAUUGUGUGAAGAUACUGUAUGUGAGGUAGUAAGUCAGGAAAGCAUACUCUGUCCUGAAUUUAUGUACUCAGCUAUUUUAUUUCUAUUAAGAGAAACAGCCAAACACUACAUUUAAGCUUGCUGAAAAACAAAGAAUAUUUAAGAGCUAAAGCUUCAGAAAGAGCCAGGUUGUCUGAUAUUAAUGUUUGUAUUUGAAGGAAAGAAUACAAAAAAGUGCCUAUUUUGUGUUCAGAGAUGCAAUAUGCUGCACAUUAUAUUAUCUGUUUUGCAAAUUUAUAGUUAACUAAAACUACCUACAUGAGCAGAAUGUGCAGCCCUGGUCCAAACGCUUUCUAUACAUGAACUUUGUCCUAGAACAUUGGUCACCACUCUUAUCCACCAGGGGCCAGUGUGGCUGCAGGUUUUUUAGAGUUUUAAGAGUUUAAUCAGCAGUGUCUCACACAUAACUAGACAUGUUUCCAUGAACGUGGUGGCAUUUAAAGGUCGUUUUCGAAAACGCACUUUACAGUGGACAUUUUUGCUAACUUUAUUUUCAUUGUUUUUUGUGAAUAGAGAAAAAUGCAGAUUUUAGCAAAAAUCUAUUUUCAUCAAACUGUGAUAGAAUGUUCAAAAGGUUACAUGACCUCUACUUGUACAUCUACAGUAGAUUUUCCUCAGAUUUAUUUGGGUGUUUUUUUCAGUACAAAUCAGAUAUCUAGGUCCGUGUGUGAUUUAAAGCUAUAUUAUUGAACAGUCGAAGCAUUAGAAACCAGGGCAAUCUGCCCACAUAAGAUUAAAGAGCAGGUUGUCUUGAGUGCUGAAGUGCAUAGUAUAUAAAUGUCUCCAACACUGCUGAUCUGACUGACUGCAGAGUUCCUCACCUGCUGUUGGAGCUGCAGAGGGGGACCAACUUUAACACUUCUACAACACAUUGCACUAAAUUUAUGUCUGUUUUGGUCAUUGAGCCUUUUUAAUAUAUUUGCCAGCAGAUUUUGUGAGGUCUUAGCACCGCCUUCUGGUUAAAAAAUUCUGGCACAAGCAUUUUUUAAGCACCAUUUCUGUGUUCAAAAAAGUUUCAAACACUUGCCUAGUUAUAUAAUGCGAGGUUUUCAUUGGUUGGGAUAAAAACCCUUGUGGAUAAGAUUGAUGACCCUAUUAGAACAGACAAACACCACUGACUAGAUGCAGCACAACAAGGCUUUAUUCAUUUACUUUAAAGAUUUAUUUGGAAAGAAAUAAAUGUUUUAUUGGUGAAAUAAAGUUUUUCUGU